GAUGAACGCUGACAGAAUGCUUAAUACAUGCAAGUCGAGCGAACAGAUGAAGUGCUUGCACUUCUGACGUUAGCGGCGAACGGGUGAGUAACACGUAAGGAAUCUACCUAUAAGCGGGGGAUAACAUUCGGAAACGUGUGCUAAUACCGCAUAAUAUCUUCUUCCGCAUGGAAGAAGAUUGAAAGACGGCCCUGCUGUCACUUAUAGAUGACCUUGCGGUGCAUUAGUUAGUUGGUGGGGUAACGGCCUACCAAGACGAUGAUGCAUAGCCGACCUGGGAGGGUGAUCGGACACAUUGGGACGGGGACACGGCCCAAACUCCUACGGGAGGCAGCAGUAGGGAAUCUUCCGCAAUGGGCGAAAGCCUGACGGAGCAAUGCCGCGUGAGUGAAGAAGGCCUUCGGGUCGUAAAACUCUGUUAUAAGAGAAGAACAAAUUGUAGAGUAACUGCUACAGUCUUGACGGUAUCUUAUCAGAAAGCCACGGCUAACUACGUGCCAGCCGCCGCCGUAA
rnacentral:rRNA from 1 species